AACGAACGCUGGCGGCAUGCCUAACACAUGCAAGUCGAACGAUACCUUCGGUUCUAGUGGCGCGCGUGUGCGUAACGCGUGGGAACCUGCCCUUAGGGUCGGAAUAACGCCCCGAAAGGGGUGCUAAUACCGGGUAAUGUCGUCUGACCAAAGAUUUUUCGCGUUUGUAUGGGCCCGCGUUGGGUUAGGUAGUUGUUAGGGUAAAAGCCUACCAAGGCGACGAUCCAUAGCUGGUCUGGGAGGAUGAUCAGCCACACUGGGACUGAGACACGGCCCAGACUAAUACGGGAGGCAGCAGUGGGGAAUAUUGGAGCAUGGGCGAAAGACUGAUCCAGCCAUGCCGCGUGAGUGAUGCAGGCGUUAGGGAUGUAAAGCUCUUUUAUCCGGGAUGAUAAUGACAGUACCGGGAGAAUAAGCUCCGGCUAACUCCGUG
rnacentral:rRNA from 1 species